rnacentral:rRNA from 1 species
GACGAACGCUGGCGGCGUGCUUAACACAUGCAAGUCGAACGGAAAGGCCCUGCUUUUGUGGGGUGCUCGAGUGGCGAACGGGUGAGUAACACGUGAGUAACCUGCCCUUGACUUUGGGAUAACUUCAGGAAACUGGGGCUAAUACCGGAUAGGAGCUCCUGCUGCAUGGUGGGGGUUGGAAAGUUUCGGCGGUUGGGGAUGGACUCGCGGCUUAUCAGCUUGUUGGUGGGGUAGUGGCUUACCAAGGCUUUGACGGGUAGCCGGUCUGAGAGGGUGACCGGCCACAUUGGGACUGAGAUACGGCCCAGACUCCUACGGGAGGCAGCAGUGGGGAAUAUUGCACAAUGGGCGGAAGCCUGAUGCAGCAACGCCGCGUGCGGGAUGACGGCCUUCGGGUUGUAAACCGCUUUCGCCUGUGACGAAGCGUGAGUGACGGUAAUGGGUAAAGAAGCACCGGCUAACUACGU